UUUGGUUAAGUUAGAAAGGGCGCACGGUGGAUGCCUUGGCACUAGGAGCCGAAGAAGGACGCGACGAACGGCGAAACGCCUCGGGGAGCUGUAAGUAAGCUUUGAUCCGGGGAUAUCCGAAUGGGGGAACCCACCAUCCGUAAUGGGAUGGUACCCAUACCUGAAUCUAUAGGGUAUGAGGAGGCAGACCUGGGGAACUGAAACAUCUAAGUACCCAGAGGAAGAGAAAGCAAAUGCGAUUUCCUGAGUAGCGGCGAGCGAAACGGGAACAGCCCAAACCAAGAGGCUUGCCUCUUGGGGUUGUAGGACACUCUAUACGGAGUCAGAAAGAAACGAAGUAGGUGAAGCGACCUGGAAAGGUCCGUCACAGAAGGUAACAACCCUGUAGCCGAAACUUCGUUUCCUCCAGAGUGGAUCCUGAGUACGGCGGGACACGUGAAACCCCGUCGGAAGCUGGGAGGACCAUCUCCCAAGGCUAAAUACUCCCUAGUGACCGAUAGUGAACCAGUACCGUGAGGGAAAGGUGAAAAGCACCCCGGAAGGGGAGUGAAAAAGAUCCUGAAACCGUGUGCCUACAACUAGUUGGAGCCCAUUAACGGGUGACAGCGUGCCUUUUGUAGAAUGAACCGGCGAGUUACGAUGUCGUGCAAGGUUAAGCUGAAAAAGCGGAGCCGCAGCGAAAGCGAGUCUGAAUAGGGCGAAAUAGUACGCCGUCGUAGACCCGAAACCGUGUGAUCUACCCAUGUCCAGGGUGAAGUUCAGGUAACACUGAAUGGAGGCCCGAACCCACGCAUGUUGAAAAAUGCGGGGAUGAGGUGUGGGUAGGGGUGAAAUGCCAAUCGAACUCGGAAAUAGCUGGUUCUCCCCGAAAUAGCUUUAGGGCUAGCCUCGAGGGAAGAGUCUUGGAGGUAGAGCACUGAUUGGACUAGGGGUCCCCACCGGAUUACCGAAUUCAGUCAAACUCCGAAUGCCAAUGACUUAUCCUCGGGAGUCAGACUGCGAGUGCUAAGAUCCGUAGUCAAGAGGGAAACAGCCCAGACCAUCAGCUAAGGUCCCAAAGUAUACGUUAAGUGGAAAAGGAUGUGGAGUUGCCCAGACAACCAGGAUGUUGGCUUAGAAGCAGCCACCAUUUAAAGAGUGCGUAAUAG
rnacentral:rRNA from 1 species